rnacentral:rRNA from 1 species
UAGGGAAUCUUCCACAAUGGACGCAAGUCUGAUGGAGCAACGCCGCGUGAGUGAAGAAGGUCUUCGGAUCGUAAAGCUCUGUUGUUGGUGAAGAAGGAUAGAGGCAGUAACUGGUCUUUAUUUGACGGUAAUCAACCAGAAAGUCACGGCUAACUACGUGCCAGCAGCCGCGGUAAUACGUAGGUGGCAAGCGUUGUCCGGAUUUAUUGGGCGUAAAGCGAGCGCAGGCGGAAUGAUAAGUCUGAUGUGAAAGCCCACGGCUCAACCGUGG